GACCUAUGAAUAUACAUACGCCCAACACAUUUCAUUUUUUUAAUUACGUAUAAUACCUCGUAACUUUAUUUAACUAAAUACCCACACGCACACAUGAACACCAUAUUUAUCGUCGGUUCCUUGACCUUAAGCCGUUGCAAUCGGGCCCGAGUUAACCCUAUCUUCCACGGUCUUCAUAGCUUCAAACCGAGGCUCCUUUGCCUGAAACUUGACCGCGGUAUAGAGCUUCAUGUAGUCCUCAAACACGAAUUUGGGGUAAAUGUUGCUCUUCUCUUCUUCCUUGUUUACUAGUUGUGGCGCAGGAUAGAUGACCGCAUCACUUCCAGGGUUGUAAAACGAUGCUAUCGACAUGCGGGUCCCAUCUGGCUGAGCAAUCACUCUAUGCAUCACACUUUUGUACCUUCCAUUAGUGAUCACCUGAUCUGAUCACCUAGAUUAAUGACAAUGGAAUGGUGCAUCGGCGGUACAUCAAUCCACUUGUCGUCUUUAAGGAGCUGGAGUCCACUGACCUUAUCAUCCUGAAAGAGCAAGAUGACGCCACCCGCAUCGGUGUGGGCCCGGAGACCCUUGAUAAGGUCGGGCUUAGGGCAU
rnacentral:lncRNA from 1 species